AGAAGCAGAGAAAAUAAAGGGGCAUUACUCGGCAUGACUCAGCAGGCCCUCUGUCAUCAGGGAUUUUGCCAUAAGUGACAGUCAGCAUCUAACAAUGAAGUGUUGACGGUGUGUGCUGAUUCUGAUCAUACAGAGUGUGAGUAGUACGGAGAUGCUUCAUGAAAUCGAAUGUGAAUCCUUGGAGAGUAGACAAUAUCCUUUUCAUGGAACACUGUUGAGAAAAUUUAGAGAACCAGCAUUUGAAGCUGACUGCAAACUACUCUUCUGCUGCAAAUGAUAAAUGAUACAUGUCAUAUAAAGAUCACAAA